GGUUCCUGGUUCCUGGGACUGGCUCCUGCAGUGGAAACAGACUCUCUGACAUACGAUCUUCAUCUGAGGCAGAUCGAAAUGUUGCUGAGGAGCUCAGGGUGGAGAUGUGUCUGAACUCUCUUCUGAAUCAUGGAGGACGAGUCCAUCAAACCUCUGUAGGAGAAAAACAACAACAGCAGCGUCGGACUCUGAAAGACUCCUGUGUCAGCUGUCCAAUCAGAGGAGGAGUUAAUCCACUCGAACAGGAAUCCCAGACGUGUCUGCUGAGGAGAUCUCUUUUGUUUAGUUACGUCAACAUGAAUAUUUGAUGAUUUUCUUCCUGAGGCUGUUGUUGGUCAGACGUAGACACUGAACUCCACAGAGACGGACAGACGGACUUCUCUAUACUCCGCUCUGUCGUUCAUGUUUGUCGGCUUUGAGCUUCAGACUUGGAGAAAAUGAAAAAGUACGUUGGAUUCUUGAUCUCCACACUAGCGCCCUCCUGGUUAUUUAACGUGAGAGUUUGACAAAGACAGGAUCUGUUUCUGAUGGAGCGUCAGGAGGACCUUCAGACUCCUCACACCUUCUUCAGUGAAACACAAACUCUGCUUUAAUGUUGAUGAACCUGGAUUAGAUCAGAUUAUCGAGGUUUGAACCGUCCGUCUGAAGUUAAAGUGACUGAAUUUAACAUGAUGAAGAGUUUGACUCUGUCUGACUGAUGAAGAUGAUAACUCCUCGUUCGGUGGAGUCCUCUGUCUCUUCUCCCUGUAGUUUUUUGAAGCGUCUCUCUGCUCCUUUCUUCAGUCUGCUGUCUUGUGUCUCUUUGUUCGACUUACUUUUGUAUUUCUGUUUUUUUUAGUCUAGUUAUUUCAGACUUUUACUGGAUUUGUUGCUGAUUAACUGAACUUAUCUUAGUUUUUUUCCCCGUUUCUUCGUCGCUCUUGUUUCGAAUGAUCCUCGUUGUUCUUUGACGUCUCCCUGAUGUUGUCUGAUCCUGUUUAAUGUCUCCUCUCCUCUUUUUUUAUUCUUUGUUCUGAUCUGAGGUUUUCAGGCUCUUAUUUUAGUGAUAAUUUAGACACUAACACUUGGUUGAAGGCCUGUAGUGUCUGUUGAAUCCUCCUGUUGGAUGUGAUCACAGUCUCAUUCAGCUCAUUUAUUACUGCCUCUGUAAGUUAAAGUUUUCUUCAUCCUUCUCACUCAUCUUCAGGUUGUUCUGCGUGUUCUCUGCUGGAGGUUUGAAGGUGAAGGUUGAAGGUGAAGGUCAGAUCUGGUCCUACUCUGUAGAUUCAUGAAAAAGACACUGAAAUCCUCGACUGAAUGAGAUCUAAAGAGUCUGUCAUCAUAAGAAGUUAACUCUGUGUUUAUUCUGUUAGACGACAUUUGAAGGAACAAUCAGAUCAUGAUGAUCUAAAAACCUUCUUCUCCAUCCUCCUGAAGUUAUUAUACAACAAAAAACAGCAUUUCUGGGUUCGAAGGAGGAUCUCCUUCCCUCCUCCCCUUCCCUCCUCUCCUCUCUUCUCCCCUUCCCUCCUCUCCUCUCUCCUCCUCUCCUCUCUCCUCUCCUCUUCUCUCCCCUCCUCUCCUCUUCUCUCCUCUCCUCUUCUCUCCUCUCCUCUCUUCUUUCCUCUCCUCUCCUCUCCUCCCCUCCCCUCCUCUCUUCUCUCCUCCCCUCCCCUCCUCUCCUCUCCUCUCCUCUCCCCUACUCCUCUCUUCUCCCCUUCCCUCCUCUCCUCUCUCCUCCUCUCCUCUCCUCUCCUCUCCCCUACUCCUCUCUUCUCCCCUUCCCUCCUCUCUCCUCUCCUUUCCUCCCCUCCUCUCUCCUCUCCUCUCCUCUCUCCUCCUCUCCUCUCCUUACUCCUCUCCUCUCAGUAUAAUCUAAUCCUCCCUGUAUCCAGCAGACAGUCUCGUUAACAGAUUCAUUAAUCUGGUCUCUAAUUAGUCUCUUUACCCUCUUUUAUUAUUAUUAUUAUUAUUAUGUUUGUAUUAAUCAGCUGAUU